AGCAGCCGCGGUAAUUCCAGCUCCAAUAGCGUAUAUUAAAGUUGUUGCAGUUAAAAAGCUCGUAGUUGAAUUUCGGGAUCAAAUUGUCGGUCGUGCCUCGGUACGUACUGGUAUUAUUGGUUCCUCCCUUCUGACGAACCACGAUGUCAUUAAUUUGGUGUCAUGGGAAAUCAGGACUGUUACUUUGAAAAAAUUAGAGUGUUUAAAGCAGGCUCGCGCUUGAAUACAUUAGCAUGGAAUAAUGAAAUAGGACGUUUGAUUCUAUUUUGUUGGUUUCUAGGAUCGACGUAAUGAUUAAUAGGGAUAGUUGGGGGCAUUAGUAUUCAAUUGUCAGAGGUGAAAUUCUUGGAUUUAUUGAAGACUAACUACUGCGAAAGCAUUUGCCAAGGAUGUUUUCAUUAAUCAAGAACGAAAGUUAGGGGAUCGAAGACGAUCAGAUACCGUCGUAGUCUUAACCAUAAACUAUGCCGACUAGGGAUCGGAUGAUGUUAAUUUUUUAAUGACUCAUUCGGCGCCUUACG
rnacentral:rRNA from 1 species